CUCCACUAGCUUUGUCAGAAUCCUUUCUUUAACCAGGGUUCUAGUUAUGUUACCCAUCUUGACAAAGGACCAUCAUUGCCUCUCUUCAAACUUCAUAGCAGCCCUCAUCAUUAAUCUGGACACAGGUCAAACCUGUCCAGGGACCCUCAGCCAGUUCUGCUCUCAAUAAAAAAGUUACUUUUUAUUGUCCACUUUUAUGUGGUCAAUUAUUUUGACUCAAGUAAAAGAAGAACAAUGCAGCAAGAGAAUUGAGGAUAUUUUUGAGAAUGGAUUCAACUUCUGGAUAUCACAAACCAAAUUGUGGCACAGAAAGACAAUUCAUAAAUGUCUUCUUCAAAAUGGGCCAAUUAGGCCGAAGUUGAGAAUUUGGGGAA